GCCUGGUUAGCUCAGUUGGCUAGAGCGUGUGGCUUUUAUCUGAGUAUGAUGAAAACCUCAAAGUCACGGGUUCGAACCCCGUAUCAGGCU